GAAAAAUUAGUUAAAAGAUAACAUUAGUAUGUCAAACUAAAAUUACUAAAAUUAUAGUAUUUUUUU
rnacentral:tRNA from 1 species